rnacentral:rRNA from 1 species
AUGUGUAAUGUCCGUUUUCGCUCCCUUUGCUGUUGUUGCUCCUGUUUGUUCUGUACCCUGUACAUAAUGUGCUUGCUGAAGUUGAUAAACUUGCACAUCACACCAACUGCUUACCUCGACAAACACUUAAAUAGACAAAACAUGUGGAUUGGCUAUGCAUUAACUUUGAAAGGAAUGCCAGCUAAGAGAAGUUCUUUUAUCUGCAACGGUGAGGGCGGAAGAGAUAUAUGUUCCAUUCAUUUAUCACCAACGAAUCUUCAACAAGUAAAAAGUACAGGAAGAAAGACUGCAUCCUGUCGGAAGUAUGUUUCUUUCUGGUCAAUUAUAGGAAAUUUGUGUCCAGUCAAGACCUUAACUUAG